AAGAAGAGCCAGCAAAAGAACUUGCUGUCUUAGUCAUCCUGCUCUGUCCGCCAAGCAGAGCUUCAAAUGUGAGAACACAUUCCAGUUGCAGGAUCAGAGGACUUUUCCUACAGCACUUAGACACAGAACUGUGACUGUCCUGCUGGAGAGGGAGGCCACAAGCAGGGGCCCUGGAGGAUGAGGAGCCACAUGGAGAGUGAGGCCGCAGAGAGGAGUGCAGAGGUUCUGGACAUGUGAGUGAAGGUGCCACCUUGGACAUUCCAACCCCGUCAAGGCUCCAAGGACACCAGACCCAUCCAUCGUGUGAUAACAGCCAACAAGAGCCCCCGG
rnacentral:lncRNA from 1 species